AACGAACGCUGGCGGCAUGCCUAACACAUGCAAGUCGAACGAGACCUUCGGGUCUAGUGGCGCACGGGUGCGUAACGCGUGGGAACCUGCCCUUAGGUUCGGAAUAACUCCCCGAAAGGGGUGCUAAUACCGGAUAAUGUCUUCGGACCAAAGAUUUAUCGCCUUUGGAUGGGCCCGCGUUGGAUUAGCUAGUUGGUAGGGUAAAAGCCUACCAAGGCGACGAUCCAUAGCUGGUCGGAGAGGAUGAUCAGCCACACUGGGACUGAGACACGGCCCAGACUCCGGGGGAAGGGGAGGGGGGGGAAUUGAGAAAGAGGGGAAGAGGCCUGACCGCGCACGGCGGGGUAAGAAAUAGGGCCUUGAGGGUUAAAAAGUUUUUUUCCCCGGGGAGGUAUUGACGGGACCGGAAGAAUAAGCCCGGGCUAACCCCGUG
rnacentral:rRNA from 1 species